GCGAAAAGGACUUUUUCUAGCRUACGACUUGUUUUUUGAAGAAAUCGUUUUUGGUUUGAUAAAAUGUAAUAAAAAUAGUAAACUAUAAUUCAUAUAACACUUUAUUCACUUAAUAUCUUCUUAUGAUUAUUGCUUUUUUUUACGCUACACAGCGCAUUCGUCUUGUUCAUUUAAUCAUUUUAACAUUUUUAACCAUUUCCGUAUUCCGUUUUCAUUCAAUAUUUAUAUUUAAUAAACAAUUAAAAAUGUYAGUCAAUAUAUCAUCAAAUUCUGACCGUUCUGGUAAAGAAUAUGUUUUAGAUGUUUUAAAAAAUCUACCUAUGUCUAGAAUAAAUCACGAUCGUAAGAUGCUUUCAACAGCUUGCUUGGACAUUAUAAUGAUAAUAUUUUUAAAAUCAGAUUUAGGUUGAAUUAAAUAUGUUCAUGAUUCAAUUUUAUACCAUAUUAUGACGAAGGAUGAUCAGCUACUAGAAAUUCAACUGUUAUAUGUACUGUAACAUUAUGAGAUCAGAGCAUUUCAAGUAAAUUAAUAUAGUGAUGUUAUUCAGAUUCACUAGUCUAUUGUAUUUGGAGUUGUGAAAUGCGUUUUAAACUGUGUAGCAAUCCAUUAUCAUGUCCAAAAUGAAAUUAAAAAACUAGAUGUGCAAAUACCACAACUUUUKUUGAAUUAUUGGAGUAAUUUAUUGUACAGACAAGGUCACAAGGAUCCAGUAUUUCAAGAGUAACAUAGGAGAAUAGUAUARAAAUGGAAAACACUUUGAUUUCAAUGUGCAAAUAGUAUUCAAAUUAGUCAGAUGUGGUGGACAACCAUGGCGAACUGUUUUUGAUACCAUGAAGGUACACUCAUCUAAUGAUAAAGUUGCCUGUCUGGCAGUUUCAGUCUACAUUGAAUAUUGUAUGUAUACAAAUGUUAAGAYCACGCAAAAGAAACUUAGUGMAACUAUAAACGUCAUCAAGACUAACUUCAGAGAAGAAUAUGUACAAUUGACCCCUUUGCAGUUAAUUGUUCAAGAUUCGUAUCGCCUGUUAAUAAUCUAGAUGGUCGGUGGCUGUUGUUGAUGUCUCUUGAAUCCUUUUCUUGUGCUUGUUUUGCAUUGCUAUCAAGCUGGCUGAUUGAACUGAUGACCAGUUUUUAUUUCUAAUAAUAGUCAGAUCUUGGAAAUACUACAAAAUAUACUUAAUUAGUGUUUUGAUACUAUUCUCGCACUUAUGUUUCAGCCAAUGUAAUGCUGCUUUGAAUUAACAACUUGUAACAACAGACUAUAGUUACUCCUCAUUGUACGCUGGUAUGCUAUAAGAUGGCCUCUUUGAUUGAACGACUCACUCCUAUGGUGGUCAAACAUCCAGAUCUUAAAUUACAUCAAAACAUAUUCAAUAUGAGGCUAAUGUCACUGGUAAACUAUAUUUCACCACAAGCUUCUCAUUCAUURCAUAUGCCCAUUGUCCAGACCUACUGAUUUGUGUCAAUUAUAUGUUGUAAAGCACAAACCUGUUACUACAAUCAACAAUAACAAUCGGUUUUAAUGCACAAUUAUUAACCAAAUACUAAUGAUCAAGAUACAAGAAAUACUACAAGAAAUAUUUGUUUAUACAGUAAUCAAAUGAUUCAUGAAACUCCUUUUUUAUUUUGAUUUCAAGUGAUCAAAAUCAGAAUAUAGUUCAUUAAUUGAAUGAUCUAUUUAAAAUAAAAGAUUUCACUUAAAUGUUUAUAGGCUCAUGUAUUUUUUUCACGCCAGGACUGACUCACUUCUAAAUUAUUAAAAAGUAUUUUUAAUCGUUUGAUUUUUAAGCAAAAGAUUUUUUCUUGAGAAAAACUUUUUUAAAUCACGAUGCAUAUUCUAAGUUUAUUUGGUUAAAGAAUAAAGUUGAUUUAUUAAUGAAUCUCAUUUUUGGUUUUU